rnacentral:rRNA from 1 species
UACGAAGGGAGCUAGCGUUGUUCGGAAUCACUGGGCGUAAAGCGCACGUAGGCGGAUGUGUCAGUCAGGGGUGAAAUCCCGGAGCUCAACUUCGGAACUGCCCUUGAUACAGCACGUCUUGAGUCCGGAAGAGGUGGGUGGAAUUCCUAGUGUAGAGGUGAAAUUCGUAGAUAUUAGGAAGAACACCGGUGGCGAAGGCGGCCCACUGGUCCGGUACUGACGCUGAGGUGCGAUAGCGUGGGGAGCAAACAGG